CCCUCGCGGAUGGAGCUGACGAGAGUCGCAGAUACCAGGUGGCUGCAACUGUUUAUUAAAAACACAGCACUGUGCAAAAUCGCAAGAUGACGUAUACGGUGUGACGCCUGCCCGGUGCCGGAAGGUUAAUUGAUGGGGUUAGCGCAAGCGAAGCUCUUGAUCGAAGCCCCGGUAAACGGCGGCCGUAACUAUAACGGUCCUAAGGUAGCGAAAUUCCUUGUCGGGUAAGUUCCGACCUGCACGAAUGGCGUAAUGAUGGCCACGCUGUCUCCACCCGAGACUCAGUGAAAUUGAAAUCGCUGUGAAGAUGCAGUGUACCCGCGGCUAGACGGAAAGACCCCGUGAACCUUUACUACAGCUUGGCACUGAACAUUGAACCUACAUGUGUAGGAUAGGUGGGAGGCUAUGAAGACGUGACGCCAGUUGCGUUGGAGCCGUCCUUGAAAUACCACCCUUGUAUGUUUGAUGUUCUAACUUAGACCCAUUAUCUGGGUUGAGGACAGUGCCUGGUGGGUAGUUUGACUGGGGCGGUCUCCUCCCAAAGAGUAACGGAGGAGCACGAAGGUGGGCUAAUCACGGUUGGACAUCGUGAGGUUAGUGCAAUGGCAUAAGCCCGCUUAACUGCGAGAAUGACGGUUCGAGCAGGUGCGAAAGCAGGUCAUAGUGAUCCGGUGGUUCUGUAUGGAAGGGCCAUCGCUCAACGGAUAAAAGGUACUCCGGGGAUAACAGGCUGAUACCGCCCAAGAGUUCAUAUCGACGGCGGUGUUUGGCACCUCGAUGUCGGCUCAUCACAUCCUGGGGCUGAAGUCGGUCCCAAGGGUAUGGCUGUUCGCCAUUUAAAGUGGUACGCGAGCUGGGUUUAGAACGUCGUGAGACAGUUCGGUCCCUAUCUGCCGUGGGCGUUGGAAGAUUGAAGGGGGCUGCUCCUAGUACGAGAGGACCGGAGUGGACGAACCUCUGGUGUUCGGGUUGUGUCGCCAGACGCAUUGCCCGGUAGCUAAGUUCGGAAUUGAUAAGCGCUGAAAGCAUCUAAGCGCGAAGCGAGCCCUGAGAUGAGUCUUCCCUGACAGUUUAACUGUCCUAAAGGGUUGUUCGAGACUAGAACGUUGAUAGGCAGGGUGUGUAAGCGUUGUGAGGCGUUGAGCUAACCUGUACUAAUUGCCCGUGAGGCUUAACCAU
rnacentral:rRNA from 1 species